CGUAGGGGGCUAGCGUUGUCCGGAUUUAUUGGGCGUAAAGAGCGUGUAGGCGGCCAAGUAAGUCCGGUGUGAAAACUCGAGGCUUAACCUCGAGAUGUCAUCGGAAACUAUUUGGCUAGAGUCCGGAAGAGGAGAGUGGAAUUCCUGGUGUAGCGGUGAAAUGCGCAGAUAUCAGGAAGAACACCUAUGGCGAAAGCAGCUCUCUGGGACGGUACUGACGCUGAGACGCGAAAGCGUGGGGAGCGAACAGGAUUAGAUACCCUGGUAGUCCACGCCGUAAACGAUGGGUGCUAGGUGUGGGCGGUGUCGACUCCGCCCGUGCCGAAGCUAACGCAUUAAGCACCCCGCCUGGGGAGUACGGCCGCAAGGCUA
rnacentral:rRNA from 1 species